UGGGGAAUAUUGCACAAUGGGCGAAAGCCUGAUGCAGCGACGCCGCGUGAGGGAUGACGGCCUUCGGCUUGUAAACCUCUUUCAGCAGGGACGAAGCGCAAGUGACGGUACCUGCAGAAGAAGCACCGGCUAACUACGUGCCAGCAGCCGCGGUAAUACGUAGGGUGCAAGCGUUGUCCGGAAUUACUGGGCGUAAAGAGUUCGUAGGCGGUUUGUCGCGUCGUUUGUGAAAACCAGCAGCUCAACUGCUGGCUUGCAGGCGAUACGGGCAGACUUUAGUACUGCAGGGGAGACUGGAAUUCCUGGUGUAGCGGUGAAAUGCGCAGAUAUCAGGAGGAACACCGGUGGCGAAGGCGGGUCUCUGGGCAGUAACUGACGCUGAGGAACGAAAGCGUGGGUAGCGAACAGG
rnacentral:rRNA from 1 species